rnacentral:rRNA from 1 species
CAGCCCUAAACGAUGCGCGUUAGGUGUAUCGGUGACCACGAGUCACCGAGGUGCCGAAGGGAAACCGUGAAACGUGCCGCCUGGGAAGUACGGUCGCAAGGCUGAAACUUAAAGGAAUUGGCGGGGGAGCACCACAACGGGUGGAGCCCGCGGUUUAAUUGGACUCAACGCCGGGAAGCUCACCGGAUAAGACAGCGGAAUGAUUGCCGGGCUGAAGACCCUGCAUGACCAGCUGAGAGGAGGUGCAUGGCGUAGUCGUGU